rnacentral:rRNA from 1 species
CUACUCCCUGUGCGUCCUUGCCCUCCCACGACGUCGGCCGCGUCGGACGGAGUACCGGCCGCUGGAGGNGACGGAAAGCAGGUGGGGAGACGAACGAGGUAUUAGACUACCGUGGUACGUCCAUCGGAACCGUUAAACGGGUUCGGGACCACGUAAGAUUGGGGUCGGGGGAACUACUACCUUACCGUUUCCGCGUCGCAGACUACGCUAAUAGCACUCCNCGGUGGGAGUACGCCACGUAGGUAGAACUAGAAGUAUGACGGGGCCCGCACAAGCGGUGGAGCAUGUGGUUUAAUUCGAAGCAACGCGAAGAGUCGACGCGGCCG